rnacentral:rRNA from 1 species
AGGACUAACGCUGGCGGCGUGCCUAACACAUGCAAGUCGAACGGGGGUAGCAAUACCCCAGUGGCAGACGGGUGAGUAACACGUGGUCAACCUACCUCUGUGUGGGGGAUAACUAGCCGAAAGGUUAGCUAAUACCGCAUACGAUCGUUUUGAGGCAUCUCGAGACGAUGAAAGGAGCAAUCCGCACGGAGAGGGGGACUGCGUCCCAUUAGUUAGUUGGUGGGGUAACGGCCUACCAAGACUCCGAUGGGUAGCUGGCUUGAGAGAGCGACCAGCCACACUGGAACUGAGACACGGUCCAGACUCCUACGGGAGGCAGCAGUGAGGAAUUUUCCGCAAUGGGCGAAAGCCUGACGGAGCGACGCCGCGUGUGGGAUGAAGGCCUUCGGGUCGUAAACCACUGUCGAAGGGGACGAUAUUGACGGUACCCUUGGAGGAAGCCCCGGCUAACUACGCGCCAGCAGCCGC